UUGUCUAAGCUUUGGCAGCUAUUAAAGGGUUUCAUUCUGGCCUGGAAAUACUAUUGUUAGAGGACAGAGAAUCAUUAGAGCGGAGAUAAGUUAUUAAGACGCCAAUCUCUUUCCGGUCUGUAAUUUUGUUAACGACACAUUUGUAAAGGCUGAGAUUAGGUUGUCAGGAACAACUAUAUUGUUUUUUAACGUAUUUAGCUAUUAAAUUUUCUAAUCUAGUCAAGGAGUCCCCCGGUAGCCCAAUCGGUUACGCAUCUGACUUGCUGUGCGGUUGGAAGGGCAUAUAUACGCUCCACGCCAGUCGUGGGACGCCGCUUUUAUUUUUUCCUCUCUCGUGUCAAACUGAAUAGAUACAUUUUUUGUAUAAUCUCCUUUUUCUUCCGUUUGUAGUAAGUUUGAUGUGAAAAUGCUUUUUAAGAAAGGGCAUUCACCCUGCGUUACUGUAAAAAUGCCCAUCUAGCCAUGCCUUGAUUCUUUUUAAGCCCUCUUCAUUAGCACGAAACCGGUAUGCGAAGACCUUAGAAACGGCGGAGAUACCAGAGCAAAUGGAACACCAAGCGUUGUAAACAUAUGAUUUAACAACCCACUAGUGCAUGUUUGAGGAAACAUCUUGUACUUCAACACUCUCUACCAAAUCUGGUUACUUUUCUUUUUAUUUCAACUGAUAUCUUCAGUACAGUACUCUCAACGUUCUUCUACAAUUGUUCUUGACUGAUUACAACAACUACUGAAGAGUUCACUCCUCACGUUCCUUUUGAAGCGACAACCACAUGAUCCAUCAAAUCACUGUCAAACUGUCAAUCUUAGGCUAACGUAAUGUCAUGCCCAGUUCGCAUAAGGUUCUAUUGAGAUUGCGUGCAAAGCUACUUAGCAUAUUUUCCUUCGAAGCUAUACGCAGUGACUAAGAGAUUUUCUUCCUAGAUUUUAACUAUCAAUUUCCAAGUGGUUGACCAAAAUAAGGUAACGUGAGUAAUAUAAAAGUUACAAUCUUGGUUUUUAUUGAUUAAAACUUUAGGAUAACACUAAGUUUAAAGAUAAAAGGUGUUAAAAAACAGUCCUAAGAAAAUACGCGUGAUGAUUGGUUAAAAAUCGUGUUUCUAUUAAACAAUUAGACGAGCAAAUAGACGUCAAUCUCCUUCAGGUCUGAAAUGUUUGUUAACGACACAUUACAAAAUCAGGAUUAGCUUGUUUGUAACAACUACAUUGUUUACAAAUAGAAGAACCGUAGCCGGGAGAAAACCGUUCACCGGGAUAAAAACCGUUCACUGACUAUAUAGAGUUAAAACUUUCGAGCUUUCGCCUGUUGAUGUAUAUUAAAUGGAAAAACUGAAAUGGAAAAAUUCACAACUACAAAUAUAUACAAAAAUAUAUGGUACUAUAAAAGAAUACAUUAAAAUGGAAAAACAUAAGGGUCAAUAAGCUAUUUGUUCUUUUUCAAAAGAAUAGAGUAUUGAAUGCGGAGCGGUCUUGAAUUGUUAUCUGCAUGAUUUAUCGAAUCGGUGCGCCAUGAUUCUAGCGUCUUGCAAAUACGGAAAGAACCCUUGUCAAUACACCAUAUUGCUAAUACUAGCUCCAGUCUCUUGUGGGGGCAAAAUUAGAUCUUUUUAAUGAGUUUAAGCAAGAGAAAAUGAGGCAUUUUCUCUUGGUUAAAGAGGCCAUUUUUGGCCGAGCGAUCACUUUUUGCCCCCACAAGGAAAUGGAACUAGGAAAUAUUUGCAUUAGCAAAAUGGCCUUUCACUUGAGAAUUUUUUAAGUCAAUAGAGUGAUUUGAAGACCAAGCCUCUUUCGUAAGACUUCACAUUCCUCAUGUGCUCUUUUUUCCUUAACUCUAUGGGCAGUCGACACAAGACCACAUUUGGUUGAAGUUCAAUCGAAUUCGGUCGUUCAUUGCCCUGUCGACGGCCUCGAUGCCAGACUUGCAAGCACAUGACUUCGCAGACUUUUCUACAAGGCCCGAAGAGCGCACACAACAUCCAUGACCACUUCACCUGUCAGUCUGAGAAUGUUGUGCAUUGCAUCUCUUGUCGUCGCUGCAAUUGCCUAUACAUCAGAGAGACUCGAAGGCGACUACGAGAACGUUUCAGCGAGCACCUUCGCAGCAAUCGAAACCGAUCGCGCGGGUUUCCCGUAGCUGAACAUUUCAACUCCUCCUCCCACUCUCUGGAUGACAUCAUAGUCUGUGGCUUGAAACAGCGGCUCUGGCAGUAACAUCAGCCGCAAGCAGCAUGAAAUGAAAUUAAUCUUCAAGCUGGGCACGCUUCGACCGAAACGGACUGAACAUUAACUUUAAUUUCUUGUGAUUGUGGGUCUAGCGCGUAUUACACAUACGCGCGCUAAAGCAAUUGGUUUCCCUCAGGGCGCUGGUUUCCCUAUUUCGCAGUACGCCCUUGUUUGACCCUUGUUUACUUUGUACUUCAUGCGCGCGCUUUCCGUGCGUGCGUAGGCGUACAAUUUUUUGUAUGGCGUGGCUCAAUCAUUACACCUACUGAAAAAGGGCUAAGCCCGAAACGUCUAGAUUACUAGAGAAUAUUUGACACUUUUAAGAGCCUUUUGAGCCUUAUAUCUAAUUAGUCUUCACUUAAUGUGUGGACUGUAAAAUGAGAUAAAUGUCAUUUGCAUUUGAAAACUCCCCGACUGCCUUGGUCUGUUCACCCGUCUGUGCCUGGGCCUCCACCAAAACCAGAAAAAAAAAGGAAAGAGAAACGUAAAACGUAAAUGAACGUGAUCCCGCGUAAGUUCCCCCGUUAAACCGUCUUCCCGUCAAUUUUUCCCGUGACACGCCGCGUUCGUUUCCGUGAACAACAAGAAACUGGGAAAGCUGGGAACGAAAGAGAAUCCCAACAUUGCGGAGGAAGCUCUCGGUUUUCAUUUACCGUAUUUGAACAUAUUUUGACGCCAAAGCUAUGACGGAGACGCCAUUUAUGAUAUCACACGAGUUUUAAAAUGUAUUUGUCUUCGUCUGGUUGGAUUUGGGCAGCUUCAGCUGCUGCAAAACACUGAAAUAGAGACCACGUUUUAAACAACGCUGGCAAAUAGAACUUCCUAGAUAAUGCAAGAGUCAUACCAAAGUAUGCACCAGGCUUAAGUUAACACAUGGCACAAUAAAUUACCAAAGCAAAGCACACAUUUUAAAAGGGAAGCUGGUUAUGAGGUUUACCUUCACUGGCGACAGAGAUACUUCAGUAACAUGAGUCAAAGAAAAGGAUGAAAGAACUGGUUUGGACAAGGUCAAUUGAAAUGUCAGGUUAUUUAUUUCUUUGUCCAUUGCUAACACACACCUUCAGUGCUCACAAACUCAAACUGCUUUUGGAAUUGUGACUCCAGAAGGAGGAUUGAAACAAUUUUUUUUUUAUCUUCGCUGACUAGGUUGUAUCACUUACAAUUUGAUGUACAGUUUUUAAAAGGUCAUGCAUUGAAAGCUGUAAGUUAUCACUUGUUGAAACCGGAAAUUUAAAUAACUCUAUUGAACACAGCGUAACCUGUAAAUUAAAAGAACUAGGGAUGAGUGUUUCUUUAGAGAGGCUUUUCAUAUAUUCUGUAACUUUAUUGCAAUAUGUUUUCCGCUUGGCCCAGCCACUUAGCUCGAUUAGCCUUAGCUAUUUCUAAGUGGCUGUGCUCUGUUUUUCAUUGUUAUUUUUUCACAUUGCAUGUAUUUAUUUUUAUUGUAAAAUUUUUCUGGGCACAAAAUAAAGAUUGUUGUUGUUGUUUGUUGUAGGAUUGGAAGGAUGAGAAUUUUUGCACCAUGGAAUGUGUAUGAUACAUACAUUAUUUAUGCUUGGAGGAUCAAAACUCGAAACGAGUUAAUACUGUAGAAAGGCUACUUUACUGUAAAAACCCUGUUCAACCUGUGCCUCACUUGACCAAACUGCUGACGAAUGUCACGCUAGAAACACAAAAUCUUUUUUGAGCGAAAAACCAGGCCUGGGUGUUAAGCUUCUUCAAACUUCUUGUUGAUAUCAAAUCAAAAUGAAAUUGUUUUUUGGUUCAGUACUUCUGGAGUGUCAACACUUCAAGAAUGUUGCUGUUUCAAAACUUUAUGGUGGUAUUAUUGAUGUAGGGUAGCCUGCAAAAAUGCUGGUAAUUUAAAACCUUCUUAGUGAGCUUACCCUACUUAACCAUGGCUAGCACUUACCAGUAAAAAAGGAAGCUGUGAAGAUGGGUCCUGUCUUGCUCAAUUAAGGGGGGCCCCAGUGUUCCAGUGGGGGAGAAGGGCUGCUUGAUCUACCACUGUUCACAGCUCUGCAGGUACUGUCAGUAGCUGCUGGACAUGUGGUUUUAAGCAAAGGUUAAUAGCCUCCCUUUUAUCAUCUUUAAGGAGCUGAUAGAGGACAGACAAGGACAGUAACAAUCCAAAACAAAUAAAGGGUCGCAGACAAGACUAGACUAGCUGAUGUGAUCAAAUGAAGCACACACCAAGCCUGAUGGAAAGUGUUGAAUAAAAAAGGCAUGGCAAGUUGCUAGAGAGAUACAUGUAGAGAACAGGAUCAAGGACUGUGGACCCAGGACUCAGGAUAGAGGACCAGGGAACAAAGACAGGACUGAGGACUGAGGACUGCGGAUCAAGGACAGUGGAUGAAAGCAAGCCUCAGAUGACCAAGAACUUUCACAGCGAUGAAUUGUAGAUAUUUUAAGCUAAGGUAUAUGAGAUAUUACCGCUAGCAGAGAUGUCACAGUGGAAGAGGGCUCGCCUCUCACUAAUGUGCCAUAUGUGAGUUUGUUGUUAGUUCUCACCU
rnacentral:lncRNA from 1 species